GACGAACGCUGGCGGCGUGCCUAAUACAUGCAAGUCGAACGCUUCUUUCCUCCCGAGUGCUUGCACUCAAUUGGAAAGAGGAGUGGCGGACGGGUGAGUAACACGUGGGUAACCUACCCAUCAGAGGGGGAUAACACUUGGAAACAGGUGCUAAUACCGCAUAACAGUUUAUGCCGCAUGGCAUAAGAGUGAAAGGCGCUUUCGGGUGUCGCUGAUGGAUGGACCCGCGGUGCAUUAGCUAGUUGGUGAGGUAACGGCUCACCAAGGCCACGAUGCAUAGCCGACCUGAGGGGGUGAUCGGCCACACUGGGACUGAGACACGGCCCAGACUCCUACGGGAGGCAGCAGUAGGGAAUCUUCGGCAAUGGACGAAAGUCUGACCGAGCAACGCCGCGUGAGUGAAGAAGGUUUUCGGAUCGUAAAACUCUGUUGUUAGAGAAGAACAAGGACGUUAGUAACUGAACGUCCCCUGACGGUAUCUAACCAGAAAGACACGGCUAACUACGU
rnacentral:rRNA from 1 species